CAAACUCUGCCUCCAGCCUGCGGAGAAGGGGUUAAUGCCUUUUGUCUGCCGCCACCUUAGCCGGGGCUGUAGCCACCCCUGGUGGGGGAGAGAGAAACCGAGAGAGGAGGAAGGGCCUCAGCUGAGGCUGGGGCCUCAGUGCUGAGCGGGCUGGGUGGUGUCACCCCGACCAGGCUUCCCAGCCCCGCCGGCAUGUUCUAAUUGUCUGGGGAGCCUUUACCAGGCUCCGAUGUCUGCUGGACCUUUGGAAGUUCAAUGUGGACGCAGAUUAAAUAAUAGUACUACUGUAUCAGUGCUCGACUUCCUGAUUUGAUAACUUGCACUGUGGGGCAGGGCUCACCUUGUGCUUCCGAACCGAUUCCCUUGCCCCUGCCCUCCUCCCCCAACCUAGAACACUCUUAGGAGAACUGUCCUGGGACUACUAGAGCCACGAUCUGCAUGGAGGUGGUGAUGCACAGUUCAAAGUCAACAAACAUUGAGGACCCACUAUGUGCAAGACCCUGUGCAAAGCAUGACCGUGGGUGUCUAGAGCACAUGAGAAGCAUUGUAUUAAGAAAUGUAAGACCUUGGGCUGCUGUGAGCUACCGUGAGUGGCCAGCAGCCAGCAUGAGCUGCUGUGAGCGGCCGUCCAGUAUCCG